UAGGGAAUCUUCGGCAAUGUACGAAAGUCUGACCGAGCAACGCCGCGUGAGUGAAGAAGGUUUUCGGAUCGUAAAACUCUGUUGUUAGAGAAGAACAAGGACGUUAGUAACUGAACGUCCCCUGACGGUAUCUAACCAGAAAGCCACGGCUAACUACGUGCCAGGAGCCGCGGUAAUACGUAGGUGGCAAGCGUUGUCCGGAUUUAUUGGGCGUAAAGCGAGCGCAGGCGGUUUCUUAAGUCUGAUGUGAAAGCCCCCGGCUCAACCGGGGAGGGUCAUUGGAAACUGGGAGACUUGAGUGCAGAAGAGGAGAGUGGAAUUCCAUGUGUAGCGGUGAAAUGCGUAGAUAUAUAGAGGAACACCAGUGGCGAAGGCGGCUAUCUGGUCUGUAACUGACGCUGAGGCUCGAAAGCGUGGGGAGCAAACAGG
rnacentral:rRNA from 1 species